AGUAGAGGAAGCUCAUCAGUGGGCCAUGAGUCAUUCUCUAGCCCCUGGAAAGGUCUGAUACUGGGGUAUCCUUUUCCCAUAAUGGCGGUCCUCCCUGAGUAGAGAGAUGAGUUACCAGAGAGCACAGUUCCAUUCAUCAGCAGAUUGGGCAGGCCUGGAGUGGGUGGAUGUCUCUUUUCUCCUAAAAUAUUUUAGUGAAUUUCAUUUAAAAAUUUACAUAUU
rnacentral:RNase_P_RNA from 2 species